UCUAAGGAAGAACUCUAAUGGAAACGCUUAAUCGCUCGUCUUCGGAUGAGAGAUGAUGAGCCUCUGCCUUUCAGUUCUCUUGGAACAAGACGGCAAAGAGUCACUUUGACCGUCGCGCAUACCUUAAGCGGGUCUGCCGCCUUCGUUUCUCUUUCUUCAGCGAAUGACUUUGGAUUGCGCUCGCGCGCCGUACCGCAGCCUUUGGCUGCUGACGCUCCGCGAGGGCGCGGCACGAGCCGCGACGGCGCCGGUUUUAGUUCAGCUUGGCGGCCUUGCGAGGCUCUGCCUCGAAGCCGGCUACCAUCUGCGCUUGGGGCUAAGGGCUUGUAGCUCAGUUGGUUAGAGCGCGCGCUUGAUAAGCGUGAGGUCGGAGGUUCAAGUCCUCCCAGGCCCACCAUCUCCUCGAUCACCAUAUCCGGGACAACAAUCAGGGGCCGUAGCUCAGCUGGGAGAGCGCCUGCUUUGCAAGCAGGAUGUCGUCGGUUCGAUCCCGUCCGGCUCCACCACUCGCGCAAUCCCGAAGGGAUUGUCGCGGUUCGCGACGAUCCUGCGGAUCGCGCGGAGGUGUUGAGUAGAGAUGAGGCGCCGAAAAAAGUCAUUCGUAUAAAGGUUUGUGGUGAGCUUCUGGCUUGCUGCUUGUUCUGUUUGACAUCGUAAAGAGAAGAUUUGUUCGAACUUCAUGAGCCGAAAGGGUCGUGAUUUGUCGCAAGGGACGCUCAAUCCCUUGCAUAUGAUGGGUUUGCCUAACCGCGCCCUCGAACCGAUCUCGAGAAGCUGGUCUUUUUGUGCCAAUGACAUCGGGUCAAAUCCCGCACAGGAUUUGGCCCAUGCGACAAUCCCUUCGGGAUUGCGCGGAUGGGCAUUGGCAAUGAGAAC
rnacentral:tRNA from 1 species